rnacentral:rRNA from 1 species
UUGCUCCUACGGGGGGCAGCAGUGGGGAAUCUUACGCAAUGGGCGAAAGCCUGACGGAGCAACGCCGCGUGAUCGAAUGAAGGCCUUCGGGUUGUAAAGAUCUGUUGACAGGGACGAAUAAGCCAUGCGAAUAGUUUGGUGUAUGACGGUACCUGUUUAGAAAGCUCCGGCUAACUACGUGCCAGCAGCCGCGGUAAUACGUAGGGAGCAAGCGUUGUCCGGAAUUACUGGGCGUAAAGGGCGCGUAGGUGGGUGCUUAAGUCAGGUGUGAAAGCUCUGGGCUCAACCUGGAGACUGCACUUGAA